rnacentral:rRNA from 1 species
ACCUCAGUAACGGCGAGUGAAGCGGUAACAGCUCAAAUUUGAAAUCUGGCUCUUGCGGAGUCCGAGUUGUAAUUUGUAGAAGAUGCUUUGGGUUGUGGGUUCGGCCUAAGUUCCUUGGAACAGGACGUCAUAGAGGGUGAGAAUCCCGUAUGUGGCCGAGGCCCGCGCCUAUGUAAAGCUCUUUCAACGAGUCGAGUUGUUUGGGAAUGCAGCUCAAAAUGGGUGGUAAAUUUCAUCUAAAGCUAAAUAUGGGCCAGAGACCGAUAGCGCACAAGUAGAGUGAUCGAAAGAUGAAAAGCACUUUGGAAAGAGAGUUAAACAGUACGUGAAAUUGUUGAAAGGGAAGCGCUUGCAACCAGACUUGGGCGCUGCCGAUCACCUUGAGUUUUCUCGAGUGCACUCGACAGCGCACAGGCCAGCAUCGGUUCGGGUGGCUGGAUAAAGGCCGUAGGAAUGUGGCUCUCUUCGGGGAGUGUUAUAGCCUACGGUGCCAUGCAGCCCAGCCGGACCGAGGACCGCGCCUUCGGGCUAGGAUGCUGGCGUAAUGGUUGUAAGCGACCCGUCUUGAAACACGGACCAAGG